rnacentral:lncRNA from 1 species
UUCAUUUGUCCACAUUAAAUUUUGAUUUGUCUGCAAAGAAGAACGGACAAAUAUUUUUCAAAUAAUUAACUCCUUUAAAUGGAAUCUUGUUCUCCUCGACUUUAGGGUCUAAAAAAAUUGCGGUCUUAAUCCCUUAAUGGAGAAGAAAGUACCAUACCAAAAGUUAAAUUACAUGUUACGACUUUUACUGUCCGAAUGCUUUUUUCCCGCCAGGGGCAAAAAAGUGGGCCAAUUAGUAGUUUUACAACUUUGAUGGUUUUAAAAUUCUUUUACUCUUCCUUCAAGUGCCCCCUUAAAACAGCAGAAGGCAAGUGAACUCUUCCUAAACGCAUCGGCAGCCGAAUGUGCACAAGUGGCUUCCGAACUGCGAAAUAACAUCCACAAGACCACCGUAACCUCCUACUGCGGUAACCUGAACAAAACAACGGUUCAAUGACGUGAGAACUGAAAAAGAGUUUGGCUAAGUAAUGAAGUUAAAAGUUUCAUUCCAGUGGCCAUGGGCGACCAGCCAACAAGGCUCCCCGCUUUGCGAGGUUCGGAAGAGAAUUUCUAUCGUUCACAGCCUUACUCUAGUGACCAUGGCGGCUAAAAAAGAAUAUUUAAGGUUUACGCUAGCCACACCUAUUAUUUAUAGGAAUGAGUCGAGGACAAAAUCUAUACAAAAGGAUUCAAAAAGCUAGAUGGUUUUGAUUACUUGUGUCACUCAACCUACUUUGAGAUAUAUAAUCUUCAAUCCAAGGAUAAUGUUGGUAAGACCAACAUUUAAGACGGAAAACGCUUAAAUAAAAGUUAUUUACAGAUAUCAAAGUGAAAGAGACAUCAAAUAAACAUACCCCAGAUGGAUGUAAUGUAUUUUAAGCAUCCACAAAUCUCAUCUCUCACCAUUUAAAGCAACCUACUUUGAGUUUAUAACAUUUCUCAUGUAUUUAAUUAGAAUUUAAAUUUAAAGAAUUUGGAAAAGUUCAGGAAUUAUAAGAAAUUAGAGAGAUUUUGUAGUGUAUUUUAAGCAUCCACAAAUCUCAUCUCUCACCAUGAAAUUUCGAGGGAAUUGAAUCAAAAUUUUAUAUGGAAUCUCUACAAAUCAGUUAAACUCUAUAAAAACUCAUGAAUUUAUAAAUCCAUUAAAAUCUCUCAAAUUCCUAAUUGACUACACCCCCUAAAACUCACAUCCGACACUAUUUUUCUUAACUGUAAGUCAUGAUUUUAAAUAAACACGACAAUAUCUCAUUAAAAAACAAUUCAUUUGUCCACAUUAGAUUUUGAUUUGUCUGCAAAGAAGAAUGGACAAAUAUUUUUCAAAUAAUGAACUCUUUUAAAUGGAAUCUCGUUCUCCUCGACUUUAGGGUCUAAAAAAAUUGCGGUCUUAACUUAAUGGAGAAGAAAGUGCUAUACCAAAAGUUAAAUUACCGAAUACUUUUUUCCCGCCAGGGGCAAAAAAGUGGGCCAAUUAGUAGUUUUACAACUUUUAUGGUUUUAAAAUUUUUUUACUCUUCCUUCAGGUGCCCCCUUAAAACAGCAGAAGGCAAGUGAAAUCUUCCUAAACGCAUCGGCAGCCGAAUGUGCACAAGUGGCUUCCGAACUGCGAAAUAACAUCCACAAGACCACCGUAACCUCCUACUGCGGUAACCUGAACAAAACAACGGUUCAAUGACGUGAGAACUGAAAAAGAGUUUGGCUAAGUAAUGAAGUUAAAAGUUUCAUUCCAGUGACCAUGGGCGACCAGCCAACAAAGCUCCCCGCUUUGCGAGGUUCGGAGGAGAACUUCUAUCGUUCGCAGCCUUACUCUAGUGACCAUGGCGGCUAAAAAAGAAUAUUUAAGGUUUAUGCUAGCCACACCUAUUAUUUAUAGGAAUGAGUCGAGGAAAAAAGCUAUACAAAAGGAUUCGAAAAGCCAGAUGGUUUUGAUUACUUGUGUCACUCAACCUACUUUGAGAUACAUAAUCUUCAAUCCAAGGAUAAUGCUGGUAAGACCAACAUUUAAGACGGAAAACGCUUAAAUAAAAGUUAUUUAAAGAUAUCAA